rnacentral:rRNA from 1 species
GAUGAACGCUGGCGGCGUGCCUAAUACAUGCAAGUCGAGCGAACAGACGAGGAGCUUGCUCCUCUGACGUUAGCGGCGGACGGGUGAGUAACACGUGGAUAACCUACCUAUAAGACUGGGAUAACUUCGGGAAACCGGAGCUAAUACCGGAUAAUAUAUUGAACCGCAUGGUUCAAUAGUGAAAGACGGUUUUGCUGUCACUUAUAGAUGGAUCCGCGCCGCAUUAGCUAGUUGGUAAGGUAACGGCUUACCAAGGCGACGAUGCGUAGCCGACCUGAGAGGGUGAUCGGCCACACUGGAACUUGGCCACGGUCCAGACUCCUACGGGAGGCAGCAGUAGGGAAUCUUCCGCAAUGGGCGAAAGCCUGACGGAGCAACGCCGCGUGAGUGAUGAAGGUCUUCGGAUCGUAAAACUCUGUUAUUAGGGAAGAACAAAUGUGUAAGUAACUAUGCACGUCUUGACGGUACCUAAUCAGAAAGCCACGGCUAACUACGUG